rnacentral:rRNA from 1 species
UACGUAGGGUGCGAGCGUUAAUCGGAAUUACUGGGCGUAAAGCGUGCGCAGGCGGUCGUUCAAGUCGAGUGUGAAAGCCCCCGGCUCAACUGGGGAGGGUCACUCGAUACUGAUCGACUUGAAGGCAGGAGAGGGUAGUGGAAUUCCCGGUGUAGUGGUGAAAUGCGUAGAUAUCGGGAGGAACACCAGUGUCGAAGGCGACUACCUGGCCUGUUCUUGACGCUGAGGCGCGAAAGCUAGGGGAGCAAACGGG